rnacentral:lncRNA from 1 species
UGUACAUCGAGACAUCUUGCUGUCUCCCCUGCUUUUGGCAGCAAAUGGGCGACAGGUCGAGUUGUGUAACUCUAAUCACGGAACUCUUUCGGAUGUUUCCUUGACUGUCUUUUCGGGUCUCCGCUUGCGUACACGGGAAAAAUUUAAGCUCCGGGAGUGGAAUAUGAAAAUCUCAGGAUGGUGUGUGUGCCAGUAGCCCCCGGCAGGUUCUUUUCCUGUGGACUGGCUUCUGUGUGGAGACUGUUUUCGGCCAGGAUUUCGAUGCGGAAUAACACUCCAGCCACUGAACUGUGUGUAGACCUCACAUGGCGGGAACUCCGCAUGAUCUCGCUCGACGAUGGUCGUGUCUUGCACCACUCACAAGCAUAGUCCAACUUUUCCCAGUUGGGUGCAUGUAUUUUUCCCCAGGUCUUUCGGGCUGCUGCCUGGACAGUCGGACGAACCGAAUGAUAUUCCUGUGUAAAGACGACUAACAGCCAGAUACCAGGUGGU